ensembl:lncRNA
CUGGGACCCGCGGUCGAUGCCGGUGAGGAGGGGGAUGGGCGCCACUGCGAAUGUUAGGACCCGAGACAGAAUCAGAGCCCUGUAUCACAUAGAGCAGCAUCUACCCCUUUAUAAAUAUCGAUUGUAAAUAAUAUAAAACACCAUAAUAAAUGGAUUAAACCACCGGGGAUUCAACAUAGACACUCGAUGGAAAUACGGUGCCCAAGCAGGACAGGGAAUUAAACGUUCAACCUUUGCGUGGGGGACAUUGAGAAGUUGUUUCCUAACCCGGGAGAGGGAGCUACGUUGGGGAGGGUAAAGGAAGCAGGAGACUCCGAGGCCGAGUUGGAGGCCUACUGGUCUGGUUCGAUUUGAUGUCGGAAUACUCGAAGAUCUACAGACAACAUAAGAGGAUACUUUGUUUGUACUGGGUUGGAAUGUCUCACUAGCCUCCCCCAUCUACCAACCCCAACCUCUGUGGCGGAGAAGAGAAAUGGGUGGUAUUUUUUGGGGAGCUUGCGUUUCCUUUUUUAGCCUCCAUUUUUAUUUCAACAAGUGUGUCGGAUCGAGAGAGGGUUUUAAGUGCGAGAAUAGAAUGACUCGGAUGCUUAGCGCUCAGCUUUGUUUUGCCGAGUUCGAUCCAGUUGAUUUGGCAUAUUUUAUUGUCGUCUGUGGUGGAUAAUAAACUGCUAAUACACCCACGAGGAACUCGAUGGGGAAUUGUUUUAAGAUAUAUUCAUUUUUAAUUUUUCCAGAUACUUCAUUUGGACAAGCCCUCCCUCGUCGUUUAUUUUUAGAUUCACCCAUCGCUGGCCUUGUUAGAGUUAUCUCGUUGACGUAAUUGUUCUUCACAGUCCUUACUGGCUCAUCUUAUCAGUUAAUUUUGCGUUUUGGCUAGCAGAGUUUAUAAAGUGAUACGAUAGUGUUCACAUUUGGUUGUUAGAAUAUAAAAGGCCAUUGCUUGUGUGAAGCGUCGUCAUGCCCUGACCGCGUUCAGCGUAUUAACAUAGCAUACCAAUAACAUUGAUUAGGACCCCACAUUUGAGUGCCAAAAUGGUUGCCCUCGUCACUGCCUGUGUUAUCUGGCCAAGCUAAACUGUCCCACGUAUUGUAUACGAGCUGCGGCUGCUGUUGUUGUCUGUCGCUUCCAGCCCUAAAGCAGCGCUGAGCGUCGGCUGCAGUCAGAAAAGCACCCACCCCCGUUUCGUCUGUGUAUGCCAAUCAGGAACCGGAUGUGAG